rnacentral:lncRNA from 1 species
CUGGUUUUGUUUCAAAUUCUGGCUUGGAUUUCUAGUUAAAUUGGUGAUUAAGCUGUUUGUGUGGGUGAUUUCUGUUUGCUCCUGGGUUUCAAAGCUGUCCUGGGCUGAUUGAAUAAAUAUGGACUUGCUGUUUAUUUCUACCCGUUAGUGAUGUUGUGCUGCUGAAUAUUAGUUGGUUACUUGUGGCUUAUCUCUUAUCUUCCUUUUUCUGUUCUGUUUCCAGGUACACUUACUCAAUCGUCUUGAUGUAAUUUCGAGUUUGAAGUGAAAUUGAAGUUGAAUGCCUGACUUAUGCUUAUUCACCUGCUGCGGUUAUGAUGUGUGUUUCUUCUUUC